UCCACAAUGAGACAGCUAAGAUCUAUUCGGAACUUGAGGCAAUUGUUGACAAGUUGGCCACAGAAUCGCAACGCGGCUCAAAUACGCUGCGCAAACAAACAAUAAAUCCCAUCAAGACUUCGAGCCCAGUGCAAUCGCCAGUGAACAAACUGAACAACGCCAAUGCCAACAACAGCAACUAUCAAAAUCAAAUUACCACAAACGGUGGCUCCAGUCUGGCAAACAGUCUGUAAAAUAAAUUCCUAAC